GUUCUCGCUUCGGGAGCGCAUGUGUUAACAUUGGAAUGAUACAGAGCAGAUUAGCACGGCCCUCGUGAAAUGAUGACAUACAAAUUCAUGAAAGAGUCCAAACUUUU
rnacentral:snRNA from 10 species